CCUUCACAGGUCCUUAGAGUUCUCACAAAAUGUACAUUAUUUUGAUGUGUAAAAAUUACAGUGCUGGGUAUGCAGUGACUUAUGAUCUCAAGAUGCUAAAUCAUAUCUCAUAGAGGCUCAGAUCAAAAAAGGAACCAACUAGGGAUGCUAUAGGCAACGUUUUGAAGACUAUGUGACGGGGUCUUUUAAAUUUUGUUUUGCUUACACAAUAUUUACUGAUAAUAUAAACAGCAAAUGAACUAACCAAAAAUACUGAUUGAUAAAAAGAUCAUAAAACAGAAACUCCAUUUUCACCAUGUUCACAUUGUUACCAUGAGAUUGAGACAGAUACAACCCGACAUCACGUGCUGCCCAACAAGAUGAAGUGGGAGGGAUGCUCCAUCUACCACAAAGGAUUCUUGCUCAAGAAGCAACAAAAACAGGGGACCUGACCUCAUCAAGCUCUAACUACCGGUUUACAGGAAAUGCAGGGCUGGAAGAGCAUGUGAGCAUCACCAUGUAGAUGCAGCCAGCCAAACCCCAAAUACGGGAAGUUCCAGAGGACACUUGACCCAGUUUCUUUACGAAGUAAACAGCAAGAGAAAAAACAAAAAACAAAAAACUGGGAGGGGUGUUCCCAUAGGUUCAAAGAAAUUUAUCUAAGGUAAAGAGGAUCCACGAAUGCAAAAAAUGUGUGGAUCAACCCUAUUUGGACUUGAUUGCAAUAAUUCAACCAGAAAAGAACUGAGGAGAUAUUCCGAGAAUUCUGAAGACAGACUAUAUAUCUGAUGAGAUGAAUACUUUUUUUCCUUAAUGGCACUUUGACCAUUAAAAAAACAAAAAACAAACAAACAAAAAAAAACUUCUUACGUUUUAGAGUUUAUUGAAUAAUUUGUGUGUAAAAUAAUUAUGUUGUCCUGGGAGUUCCCAUCGUGGCUCAGUGGAAAUGAAUCUGACUAGUAUCCAUGACAUCACAGGUUCAAUCCCUAGCCUCGCUUCAGUGGGUUAAGGAUCCGGUGCUGUGGUGUAGGUCACAGAUGCGGCUCGGAUCCCAGGCUGCUGUGGCUAGGCCAGUGGCUAUAGCUCUGAUUUGACCCCUAGCUGGGAACCUCCAUAUGCUGCAGGUGUGGCCCUAAAAAUCAAAUAAUAGUAAUAAUAAUAAUAAUAUAUCCAGCAUUUACUUUAAAGUAAUUGGGGGGUGUUCCCACUGUGGUGUGGUGGAUUAAGGAUCUGGCGUUGUGAUAGCUACAGUGUAGGUUGCAGCCGUGGCUUGGAUUUGAUCCCUGACCUGAAAACUUCGAUAUGCCCCAGGUGCAGCUGAAAAAGAAAAAAAUAAGUAAAUAAAAUAACUGGGGGAGGAGGGAAGCAGUGGGGGCUAUAAAUGAAAAACAUUGGCCAUAUGAUAAAAAUGUGAUGCUGGGUGAUGGAUAAAUAGGGGUUCACUGUAUGAGUCUACUGUAUGUAUUUGAAAUUUCUAAUAAGUUACAAGCUGAAAGUGAAGAUUCUUUUGAUGAAAUCUCAGUUUUUAAAAAGAAACACCAUCAUUCGAUGAGACUAUUCAAGAACCUCAAAAAAGAUGCAUUUUUUUCUUUGAAAUAUUUGUUUUAAUAUCACCCUUCCAAAGUAUCAGUACAUAAAACUUAAUUUAAAGCUUGCUUUUCUAGGUAAUUUGCUAACUUUGGAAAUAACCUCUUACAAAGAACUCAAAGUAUUCUUGGGAGUUCCCAUCGUGGUGCAGCAGAAAGGAGUCCACUAAUCCGACUAGGAAUCAUGAGGUUGUGGGUUUGAUCCCUGGCCUUGCUCAGUGGGUUAAGGAUCCGGCAUUGCCAUCAGCUGUGCUGUAGGCUGGCCGCUAUAGCACCAAUUAGACUCCUAGCCUGGAACCUCCAUAUGCCACAGGUGCAGCCCAAAAAACCAAAAACGCACAAAAAAAGAACACAAACCAUAAUCUUUAGAAUCAUCUUUCUACACAGACAACAAUUAAAAGGCAACCUUAACAAAAAUGGUCCAACAGGUGAUUGUAAAUCUCUUCCUUAAGUCUCAAUAAGCACAUUACUGUACCUAGGACAGGAACUGUGACCUCGACUGGAGAUUCUUUAACCGCUAGCAGCCCAAGAUGAUAUAACUGAUUACAGAUAUAAUUGUAGGAUAGGUAUAGAUACAGAUACAUCAUUUUGCAGACUCAACUCAUAUUACUAACCUGUUAAGUAUGGAGUAAAAAGUACACCAUUCUCUUUCUUUUUUUCUUUUUAGGGCUGCACCUGCUGCAUAUGGAAGUUCCCAGGCUAGGGGUUGAAUUGUAGCUGCAGCUGCCCGCCUAUGCCACAGCCAUACCAGAUCUGAGCCAUGUCCUCAACCUAUGGCACAGUUCGAGGCAAUGCCAGACCCUUAGCUCCUUAACCCACUGAGCAAGGCCAGGGAUAGAACCCGCAGCCACAUGGCUACUUGGGUUUUAGCCUGCUGAGCCACAACAGGAACUCCAAAAGUGCACCAUUCUUAGAAAAUACAGCCUUGCAGUAAAAAGAGUACAUCUCUCUAAACACUGAAUCUGAGGAAUCCGGCAGAUUGUGAGAUAAAGGAGACCUUCCCACUAAAAACAGAAUCCUGAAGGAGACGCCGUACCAUCCUUCCCUGAAAACCCCACUCUCACUCAACUUGUAUAUUUUUCUUUAGUUGAAUGCUGAGAAUUCACCAUCCCCUGAGGCUCCACAAAAGCCUCCAGUACCAUUUCAUUAUUCCCAAUCUCAGCUUCCUGGCAAGGCGGCCCACAUAACCGCUUCUCUUCCCUGUCUUUUUUCUCUCGCCAACUUCCAAAUGCACAUGUUUUCAAGAUCGCACUUGAACUCAUCUGCCUGAGAUCUGAGAUGUUUCCAGACACAGGUGUCUGUCUUUUCAUAGCAACUUUCUCUCCUCCUUUCACUGGUUUCUUCAGAAGGUCCUCACGGUCUGAGGCCUUUCCGCUUGGUAUAUGAAGACACUAGAGACGCUGCUGUGCUCUGGGGUCCCUGACAGGGAGUCUGGGGAUCCCAGCGGGGUCCUGGAGCAGGUGGGAGUCUCGAAGCAACAGAUGAGCAAGAGCAUGAACACGUGCGUUUCCCCACCUCCGGGAGCCCCGUACCACCCCUCCCUGGCCUCGUGCUUCUUGCAGGUUUACUGUUGGUCUUGGCUUUUUUCAGUGGCACAUCUCUCCCACCUAGCCUGGUGCCGAGAUUCUACCAGAAGCUCUCUCCCUUCUGGUAGAUGGAAGUUUCCUCCACACGCCAGCCCUGCCCACACCUGCUGUCACCCCCACCCCCACUCCGCCCCCGGUUUUGCCCUGUGGUCUCAAACUUAGGCUCUGAGGGGCUGCUCUUCCCUGGCCACUUCUACCCACAUCUUCCACUCUCUUCAUUUCUAUCAUUAAAACCUCCUUCCUGAGGCAUCGGAGCAAGCCUCAAUUGUUUCUCAGCUCUCUUCUCAAAACACAGCUUUUCUAAAAACUUUACAGAGCUCAGGAAAAAGAAGAUUCCUUGCCAACCAUUACAUUUAGAAUGGAGAAGCAAUGAGGUCCUACUGUACAGCACAGGGAAUAUAUCUAGUCGCUUCGGAGAACAUGAUGGAAAAUAACAUGAGAAAAAUAAUGUAUGUAAACACACACACACGCACACAUAUGACUGGGUUGCUUUGUUGUAUAGCAGAAAUUGGCACAAUAUUGUAAAUCAACUUUAACUUAAAAAAAAAAGGAAAGAAAAAAGCAAAGAUUCCUUAGAAAUGGCAUUAAGGCCAACUUGGUUAAACAAGCCUGGGCUGCACUUCUUUGUCUGGGAAUUCUGUUAGUCAUAUAACAUAAGCUAAAUAUGACAUUACAUAUCACACUGAUGAUGAGCUGUCACCGAGGGAGCAGGCUGGCAGCUAACUCCCACGUGAGUGAGGCUUUCUACUAAUUAGGGAUCUUACUCUCUCUGACCCUGAAAAGGAUCUCAGGAGACGAGUUAGAGGGAUCAACAUGAACAGGAAAUAUACAUAUUUUUUCUUCUGUCAAAAGCUGGGUGUUCCUCUAAUAGUAAUAACCAAACCAGAGUCAUCCAACGCAGGUCACUGGUGCAGUGACCACACGCAAGUACUAAGUGAAGCCCCGUGAGUGUUGCAAACACUGCUCGCUCCAGAGGGACUCACCAAGGUCACAGGAAGAGACAGAGGAGUUGAAGUUCGGCGAUGGUUACAGGGCAAGUGCUACAACAAAGACAUGCAGCGGAAACUGGGGUGCCAAGAAGGCAUACACGUCUAAUUAAACAAGGGAAAGUAACAAACUACCUUGGGAGGAAGGAGAUCCCCAAGGAAGGGAAACAGCUCAGCAGAAGUCUGGAAGCAUCUGGAGGAUUCUGCUGGGAGGACGGAGGAUGGGAGGGCAUCACACCCACAUCCUUGCAAAACCACAGGCAACUCCUGUUGCCUCCUGGGAACCCUGGGAGGGUGAAUGGAGCCUCAGAGUUCAGAAAGCACAGAAGGAAAGGGAGGGAUGAGGAUGAGGCUGGAGGGAUAAGCAAAGGAGGUCAGAUUCGAACCCACAGUCAACUUUACAACCUAAAGUAAAGAAUUUUAAUGACUGUGAUUGAGACCCAUGAAUGAGUGUCCCCAGUCAUACCUUACAUGGAUAACUCACUGAGGCUUUUCUAUUAAACCAUUUUUUUCUUCAUUGAUUUGGUUAAAAUGGAAUAGAGUUCAUACAUUUGUGAAAGGGUUUUAUUUAACCUAAAACCAUAGAAUGCCUUUGGAAGAAUCAAUAGUAUUUAAUUAAUUCAUUAAAAAUCAGGCAUUUAUAACAAUUUAAGGUUGUUUAUACUGACCAGGUUAAAAUGGACUCCUGGCCCUGACUAGUAAAUACCAGCUUUAACCCUACUGGGAAGGCAAGAAAAUAGUUCCGUUAAAAGAACGGAAGGAUGAUUUAAAAUUUACUACAAAGUAAUUACACUGUAGUAAUUAGUGUAGUAAUUAAAAUAGUGUAAUACUGCCAUAAAGACAGACAUGCAGAUAUAGAAUUGAGAGUCCAGAAAUAAACCCUCACCUUUACUGUCAACUGAUUUUCGAUAAGGGUGCCAAGACAAUUAAAUGGGGAUAGAAUAGCCUUUCCAACACAUGGUACUGGGACGACUGGAUAUCCAGGGUUGGGAUAAAGCGGAACCCCUACCUCACUAUAGACAAAAUUAAUUCCAAAUGGAUCAAGGAGCUCAAAGUAAGAGCUGAAACUCUAAAAGUUUUAGAAAAACCAUAGACAUUUGUAAAUCUUCGUAGACUUUGAUUAUGUAAUUGUUUCUUAGAUAUGACACCAACAGCAAAGCAACAAAAAGGGGGGAAAAAAAUCAAUAAACUACAUCGUCAAAAUAAAAAACUUUAAAAUUUCAAAGGACACCAUCAAGAAAGUGAAAAAAAUAAAAAGAAAGUUGAAAAGAGGAGUUCCCGUUGUGGCGCAGUGGUUGAUGAAUCUGACUAGGAACCAUGAGGCUGAGGGUUCAAUCCCUGGCCUUGCUCAGUGGGUUGAGGAUCCGGUGUUGCUGUGAGCUGUGGUGUAGGUUGCAGAUGCAGCUCAGAUCCCGUGUUGCUGCGGCUCUGGUGUAGGCCAGCAGCUACAGUUCCGAUUGUACCCCUAGCCUGGGAACCUCUAUAUGCCGCGGGAGCGGCCCAAGAAAUGGCAAAAAGACAAAAAAAAAAAAAAAAAA
rnacentral:lncRNA from 1 species